GAGUUUGAUCAUGGCUCAGAACGUACGCUGGCGGCACGCCUAACACAUGCAAGUCGAACGAAGUAGCAAUACUUAGUGGCAGACGGGUGAGUAACAUGUAGGUAUCUACCCUUUGGCCUGGAAUAACACGAGGAAACUUGUGCUAAUACCGGAUAAGUCUUUACGGAGAAAGCUUUAUGCACCAUUGGAUGAGCCUGCACUUGAUUAGUUUGUUGGUGGGGUAAUGGCCUACCAAGACUGUGAUCAAUAGCUGAUUUGAGAGGAUGAUCAGCCACAUUGGGACUGAGACACGGCCCAAACUCCUACGGGAGGCAGCAGUGGGGAAUCUUGCACAAUGGAGGAAACUCUGAUGCAGCGAUGCCGCGUGAGUGAAGAAGGCCCCUGGGUUGUAAAGCUCUUUCGUCGGGGAAGAAAAUGACUGUACCCGAAUAAGAAGGUCCGGCUAACUUCGUGCCAGCAGCCGCGGUAAUACGAAGGGACCUAGCGUAGUUCGGAAUUACUGGGCUUAAAGAGUUCGUAGGUGGUUGAAAAAGUUGGUAGUGAAAUCCCAGAGCUUAACUCUGGAACUGCCAUCAAAACUUUUCAGCUAGAGUAUGAUAGAGGAAAGCAGAAUUUCUAGUGUAGAGGUGAAAUUCGUAGAUAUUAGAAAGAAUACCAAUUGCGAAGGCAGCUUUCUGGAUCAUUACUGACACUGAGGAACGAAAGCAUGGGUAGCGAAGAGGAUUAGAUACCCUCGUAGUCCAUGCCGUAAACGAUGUGUGUUAGACGUUGGAAAUUUAUUUUCAGUGUCGCAGCAAAAGCGAUAAACACACCGCCUGGGGAGUACGACCGCAAGGUUAAAACUCAAAUGAAUUGACGGGGACCCGCACAAGUAGUGGAGCAUGUGGUUUAAUUCGAAGAUACGCGCAGAACCUUACCAACACUUGACAUGUUCGUCGCGACUCUAAGAGAUUAGAGUUUUCGGUUCGGCCGGACGAAACACAGGUGCUGCAUGGCUGUCGUCAGCUCGUGUCGUGAGAUGUUGGGUUAAGUCCCGCAACGAGCGCAACCCUCACUUUUAGUUGCCAUCAUUUAGUUGGGCACUCUGAAAGAACUGCCAGUGAUAAGCUGGAGGAAGGUGGGGAUGACGUCAAGCCCUCAUGGCCCUUACGUGUUGGGCUACACACGUGCUACAAUGGUAUCUACAACAGGAAGCAAGACUGCGAAGUUAAGCAAAUCCCCAAAAGAUACCUCAGUUCGGAUUGCACUCUGCAACUCGAGUGCAUGAAGCUGGAAUUACUAGUAAUCGUGGAUCAGCGUGCCACGGUGAAUGCGUUCCCGGGUCUUGUACACACCGCCCGUCACACCAUGGGAGUUGGUUCUACCUUAAGGCAAGGUUUCAAACCCUUGACCACGGUAUAGUCAGCGACUGGGGUGAAGUCGUAACAAGGUAACC
rnacentral:rRNA from 1 species